rnacentral:rRNA from 1 species
UACGGAGGGUGCAAGCGUUAUCCGGAUUCACUGGGUUUAAAGGGUGCGUAGGUGGGCAGGUAAGUCAGUGGUGAAAUCUCCGGGCUUAACCCGGAAACUGCCGUUGAUACUAUUUGUCUUGAAUAUUGUGGAGGUAAGCGGAAUAUGUCAUGUAGCGGUGAAAUGCUUAGAUAUGACAUAGAACACCAAUUGCGAAGGCAGCUUACUACACAACGAUUGACGCUGAGGCACGAAAGCGUGGGUAUCAAACAGG